rnacentral:rRNA from 1 species
UAGGGAAUAUUGGACAAUGGGCGCAAGCCUGAUCCAGCCAUGCCGCGUGAGUGAUGAAGGCCUUAGGGUUGUAAAGCUCUUUUAGCAGGGACGAUAAUGACGGUACCUGCAGAAAAAGCCCCGGCCAACUUCGUGCCAGCAGCCGCGGUAAUACGAAGGGGGCUAGCGUUGCUCGGAAUCACUGGGCGUAAAGCGCACGUAGGUGGGUCGUUAAGUCGGGGGUGAAAUCCCAGAGCUCAACUCUGGAACUGCCUUCGAUACUGGCGAGCUUCGAGUUCGGGAGAGGUGAGUGGAACUCCGAGUGUAGAGGUGAAAUUCGUAGAUAUUCGGAAGAACACCAGUGGCGAAGGCGGCUCACUGGCCCGGUACUGACGCUGAGAUGCGAAAGCGUGGGGAGCAAACA